UACGUAGGGACCAAGCGUUGUCCGGAAUCAUUGGGCGUAAAGAGCGUGUAGGCGGCUUGUUAAGUCUUGCGUGAAAUCUCGGGGCUCAACCCCGAGCGGUCGUGAGAAACUGGCAGGCUAGAGUGCGGGAGAGGAGAGUGGAAUUCCUGGUGUAGCGGUGAAAUGCGUAGAUAUCAGGAGGAGCACCUGUGGCGAAAGCGGCGCACUGGACCACAACUGACGCUGAGGCGCGAAAGCUAGGGGAGCAAACAGG
rnacentral:rRNA from 1 species